rnacentral:rRNA from 1 species
AUUGAACGCUGGCGGCAUGCCUUACACAUGCCAGUCGAACGGCAGCACGGGUGCUUGCCCCUGGUGGCGAGUGGCGAACGGGUGAGUAAUACAUCGGAACAUGUCCUGUAGUGGGGGAUAGCCCGGCGAAAGCCGGAUUAAUACCGCAUACGAUCUACGGAUGAAAGCGGGGGACCUUCGGGCCUCGCGCUAUAGGGUUGGCCGAUGGCUGAUUAGCUAGUUGGUGGGGUAAAGGCCUACCAAGGCGACGAUCAGUAGCUGGUCUGAGAGGACGACCAGCCACACUGGGACUGAGACACGGCCCAGACUCCUACGGGAGGCAGCAGUGGGGAAUUUUGGACAAUGGGCGAAAGCCUGAUCCAGCAAUGCCGCGGGUGUGAAGAAGGCCUUCGGGUUGUAAAGCACUUUUGUCCGGAAAGAAAUCCUUGGCCCUAAUACGGUCGGGGGAUGACGGGACCGGAAGAAUAAGCACCGGCUAACUACGU